rnacentral:rRNA from 1 species
ACGAACGCUGGCGGCGUGCCUAAUACAUGCAAGUCGAACGAGAGCGACCGGUGCUUGCACUGGUCAAUCUAGUGGCGAACGGGUGAGUAACACGUGGGUAACCUGCCCAUCAGAGGGGGAUAACAUUCGGAAACGGAUGCUAAAACCGCAUAGGUCCUUUAACCGCAUGGUUGAAGGAGGAAAAGAGGCGCAAGCUUCUGCUGAUGGAUGGACCCGCGGUGCAUUAGCUAGUUGGUGAGGUAACGGCUCACCAAGGCCGUGAUGCAUAGCCGACCUGAGAGGGUGAUCGGCCACAUUGGGACUGAGACACGGCCCAAACUCCUACGGGAGGCAGCAGUAGGGAAUCCUCCGCAAUGGACGCAAGUCUGACGGAGCAACGCCGCGUGAGUGAAGAAGGUUUUCGGAUCGUAAAACUCUGUUGUUAGAGAAGAACAAGUGCUAGAGUAACUGUUAGCGCCUUGACGGUAUCUAACCAGAAAGCCACGGCUAACUACGUG